rnacentral:lncRNA from 1 species
AGCCAAGAGUCACCACGGCGGAUACACCUGGGGCAACCAGAGGCGGCGACCGUGCAGCCAGAGCCGGAGUCCUCGAAGCCAACGGAACCCGCGCUUCCGCGCCCGCAGCCAAAGUUCGUACGGACGUUACGAACCACGCAAGAGCCGCCCGCGCAUCCGGGACCCCGCCGCCGCCACAUGGGGUUCGGGGACUCCGCGCGGGCAGGAUCGGGGUCGGUCCGAGCGCUCCGCAGGCUCACUCCGCUUAGCAGGAAAUGUUUCCCUGGUGCGUGCUAAGGAAAUGCCAGGGGAGAGCGCGAACGCAGUCCCCCACUACCACAAAUUAUGCAGUCGAGUUUCCCGCAUUUGGGGAAAUCGCAGGGGUCAGCACACCCCAAGUGCAAUGGGUGGGCCUCGCCCUGGGAAAACCACCUACUUGAUCAUGGUAUCUCCCCUGCCAGGUAAGUAUGCUUUCCACACGCGCAGGCCCGACCCAGCCACACCGGCCCUGCGCUCUCAACACACGGUCACUUCGCCGCGCGCGCUCCGGGGCCUCCGCCGACGCGCACCCCGCUCCUGCGCUACGCUCACGCCCGCCCACCCGCGAUCCCCCCAGGCCGCGCGCGAAAUCCCUCGAGUUCUCGCCUCAGUGAGGACGCGGCAGCCCCUGCGCGACCCUCAUCUGCAUAGACCACGCCCCCGAGUCGCACCCAAGGGUGACAUCACACCCCUCCCUUGGUCCGGUCGGUUUGUUGGACUUUCUUGCUCUAGGAGAGCUGGAUGGAGCGUUGCAGGGCCGGACACAAAUCGCCCUGAGUUAUCUCAAAGCCCUAAAGAGCCGUUGGUCACCCACCCCGAUGGCCUGACAGCCUUGUCACCGGCGUUGCUGUGAACCAGGUCGUCAGGCAGCACCGGAGCCAGCCCUGAGCACUCAGAGAGAGGUCUCCCCGCUUCGCUAGAACCUCACUGCCUCACGUCGCCACCACUGGAUUUUACAGGGCUCUUGUGUAUGAUUUUCUUUUCUCUUCUACAGAAUGAUCACGCAACUGACACUUUAAGUCGGGACGUGGUAUUUGGGGUGACCCAAGUCUGUGUUCCUGGUUCAGGGGGAUCACUGUCCCCUCUCUGGACCUCCUUGGGUUCCUGCAUGUAAGUCGUGCACACACACACACACUCAGGCACAAACACAUGUACACAAAAUAAGUAAGUACUCUCUUUUCCGUGUUGUGUCCGUGGGGGAGGGGCAGGCUGUGCGCCACGACUCCAGUGUGGAGGCCAGCGGACACUUUGUGACAGCCAGAUCUCUUUCCGCCUUGCCUAGUACGUGGAUCAAGCUCGUGGAUUGUGGAGCCUGAUGGAUGGCAACUGCCCUUGCCCUUCCUGGCCUAUAAACCAUCUCUCUGGCCCUUUGAAAGAUCCCUCUCCUCUCCCUGUCCCUCUCCCCGUCUCUACCCCAUCUCUCCCUCUGCCUCUCUUCAUCCCUCUUCAUCGCCCUCCCCACCACCACCCCAACACAGGGUCUACCCUGUCUACAAAAAGCACUUUGAAUAAGCUUUCUGCCACCACACCCGGCUACCUUAAAACCUCUUUAACCCACUCACAGACACAACACUGCGUUGUAAGGUUUACAGAUGAUCCUAAUGUUUUGCCAUUACAUCAGAAAUUUAAGUGCUCUCCUUGGAACAAGAAUUUAUCUGGAGCUUCAGGCGCAAAGAAGGUUAAAGUGACUGAGGUAAAAUACAAAUGAUGAAUGUGCAUGCAUGCGUAUCACAAAGGUAAAUAGAUGACUCAAUUAUAAAGACAAAAAAAAAAAAGAUAAAAACAAAAACUCUGCUCUCAUUGUCUCAAGGCUCAAAAGGGAAAGAUCCAACAAAUUGGUUAGUGCAGUUUUGUUGGUCAGAAGAAAGUGUCUGCAGGAUUCUUAACAUGUUUGCCCGUAUUUAUAAUUGUUAGAUGCCUAAGAUACUAAAUACACAUUUCCAGUGUUUUGGAUACAGCUACCUGGAGUUUUGUUGGGAAUAUAGCUGUUUUAUAAAGAAAACAGUGUUUUCUCCAUGAUUCUCUCAGUACGUGUUUUCUUUAUUGCUUUGAUGUCCAAGUUCAGGUCUUGAACAGUUUUAUUCAUUUCCUUCACCAGUUUGAUACCCCACCCCCACCCCGGUUUCCUUUGAAUGAUUCAUUCAUUUCUCCUUAAGGACUUAUAUCAUCUUCAUAAAGUUGGUGUUCGGGUCUUUUUCUUGUGUUUCAAGUGUGUCAGGGUGUUCAGGGCUUGCUGUAGAUGGAUAGCUGGAUAGCUGGAUAGCUGGAUAGCUGGAUAGGGAAGUGAUCAGCAUAGGCACUGCCCCCCACCCCCAGACCACCUUCUCAGCACAAAGGAGAUGCAUUUGCCCCAGAGGGACAGGAGCAGGGAAUCAGAGACAAAGAUGAGAUGGAAGACUAAGGAAAAAGAAAAGGGUACAAGGUAGAGGGGGAAAUGAUAUUUGUGCCAGACAGACAAAGGACUGCCUCUGGAUAGAGGGGAGACAGAGGGACCUGGCCCAGAGGCAGAUGGCAGUUUAUCUGUAAGACCCACCACCACCGGCCCCCUCACCCACCCACUACUCUCCCCCACCUCACCCCACCCCAAGCUCAGGCUCCAGAAUCUUUUCCCACUACUGGGGCCACCCCAAUCACCAUGAGGAGGCAGAAACUUGAUGCAAACAGUAAGAGGCUUUAAUGAAAGGUGGACUUUAUACAAAUGCACUCUCCCAGCAUGCAAGCUAGAGAGCAGCCCCGUCCCCCAGGCACAGGCGUUUUUAAAGGCAAAAACCAUAAGCUUACGGAGGUGCCUGGACUCUCUGUCCAUUGAACCCAGGAGUCAUGGGUUCCUAGGAGGCCCUUUGUCUUGAGGGGAUGCCUGGGAAUCAGAUAGCCUCCUGACCCCACCAGUUGUAAAACCUGCAGACCUCAGGAUGUGCGAGCAAAUUAAUUGUUAAUUAUUGACACAUUGGCUGGUGGGGAAAUCUGUUUCCUUCAUGAGCCCCUCGGGGAGGGUGGCCAUCUGGGAAUUCUUGGUACCCAGUUAUCUUAUGGCCUUGUAAGGGAGUAAUUGCUGGUGGCUGGUAAAUUCCAGGCACUAAGUCAUAGUAGUAGUCAUGGUCAGUUUCUGGGCUAUAUUUCUUUGCUAAUUUUUAAGUCUUUCAAUCAAGGUAAAAGAGGGAAACCCAGUGUCAGGAUGAGCUUUUGAUUGCUGGACUUGUAGUCAGCCUCAGGAGGAAGAGGAAGUGGUCCACUCAGGGAGUAGACCUUGGUGGCUAGCUCUAGGAAUGUAAAAGUUUUUGGUUUUGUUUUUGCUUUUGUUUUUGUUUUUAGCAAGGCAGAGGGAGGAGGGGGGGACCGGAGAAGGGCAAGGCCUUCCAGUGUCAUCAUUGCCAUGCUGGGGCAGGCUGGUGUCCCUUCUGAC